UGCAGGUAGGCCUACGAUAUGACGAACCAGUUGUCGAUUAUUUUGAAUACCUAUACCUACGUUAUCUAUGCAGGCGAAGAAGAAGACUCAUGACAAGCUCGCGAUGAUGUUGAGUUGGCUUCGAACUGAAGUUCAGUCUACGAUCUGCACCAGUUUUCGAUUAUUUUGAACAACGCUAUACGUUAUCUAUGUAGGCGAAGAAAGAGAUUCAUGACAAGCUCGCGAUGACGUUGAGUUGGCUUCGAACUGUUUAUCUUCAUUGGUCUUCCAUGAAAUGAUCUCUGUAGUGAUUGAUUUCUGUCUUUUACUUAUCACCUGGUUCAAACGAAGAUGUGCCGCACAGAACGUACUCAUUUUUAGCCAGUAUUGGUUCGGUCAACUUACGUAUAGAUAUACGUAGGUACCUAUGGAAGAGGUAGGCCAAACAUUAAAAUAUCAGUUUUUGAUCGCUCUUUUUCAAUUUUAUUCUAAGUUAGUUGUUGUAGUUCUCAAUCAUGCUUUAAUUUUAUUCUUGUGCAGGAAGAAUGUCUUCAAGAAAACUGCAGAUUUGGUAAAUAAUUGCAGCAAUUUUGAACUGAAAUUUAUAUUAGUCAAUUUUGAUGAAAGUUUCAUUCACGCCUUCAUGACAAGUAGGUACGAGUUUUCGUGAUGCAAAGUUUGAAUUUUGAAAGACGAAGCUUUUUCGAACGAUGACAUGACACAAGUCAAUAUUAUGAGCUCAUUAACGAACGUAAUUCACUUACCUACAAGGAAUAAAUUACGAUCAUUGAAAAGGUUAGUAUUGAAUUGGAUCGAAUUGAUUUAUUCAUUUUUUCUUUGUGUUCACGUAUAGUGAAAUCUAAUUUUGUGAUUUU